rnacentral:rRNA from 1 species
GAUGAACGCUGGCGGCGUGCCUAAUACAUGCAAGUCGAGCGAACGGACGAGAAGCUUGCUUCUCUGAUGUUCGCGGCCGACCGGUCAGUCACACGUGCAUAACCUACCUAUAACACUGGGAUAACUUCGGGAACACGGAGCUAAUACCGGAUACUAUCUUGAACCGCAUGGUUCAAAAGUGCAAGACGGUCUUCAUGUCCCCUAUCGACUCCCCCGCUCCGCAUUACAUAGUUCGUAAGGUAACGGCUUACCAAGGCAACGAUGCAUAGCCGGCCUGAGCGGGUGAUCGGCCACACUGGAGCUGAGACGCGGUCCAGGCGGCUACGAGACGCGGCAGUAUGAACGGUUCCGCAAUGGGCGAAAGCCUGACGCACCAACGCCGCUGUAUGUAUGAAGAGCUGCGGAUCGUAAAACUCUGUUAUUAAGUAAGAAGAUAGGGGUAAGUAACUGUGCACAGCUUGGCGGUACCUAAGCAGAAAGCCACGGCUAACUACGUG